GCAGAGCACUCCGUACGGGAGGCAGCAGUGGGGAAUAUUGCAACAAGUGGGCGACAAGCCUGAUGCAGCCAUGCCGCGUGUAUGAAGAAGCCGUUCGGGUUAGUAAAGUACUUCAGCAGUGAGGAAGGUGGGUAUGUUAAUAGCAUACUCAUUUGACGUUAGCUGCAGAAGAAGCACCGGCUAACUCCGUGCCAGCAGCCGACGGUAAGUACGGGAGGGUGGCGAGUACGUUAAGUCGGUAAUUACGUGGGCGUAAAGCGCAUGCAGGUGGUUUGUUAAGUCAGAUGUGAAAGCCCGGGGCUCAACCUCGGAAUUGCAUUUGAAACUGGCAAACUAGAGUACUGUAGAGGGGGUAGAAUUUCAGGUGUAGCGGUGAAAUGCGUAGAGAUCUGAAGGAAUACCGGUGGCGAAGGCGGCCCCCUGGACAGAUACUGACACUCAGAUGCGAAAGCGUGGGGAGCAAACAGGAUUAGAUACCAUGGUAG
rnacentral:rRNA from 1 species